rnacentral:rRNA from 1 species
GACGAACGCUGGCGGCGUGCCUAAUACAUGCAAGUAGAGCGCAGUUGCGAACGGGUGAGUAACGCGUAGGUAACUGCCUCAUAGCGGGGGAUAACUAUUGGAAACGAUGGCUAAUACCGCAUACUGUGAGAUGGACGUGCGUUGUAUUAGCUAGGUGGUGAGGUAAAGGCCCACCAAGGCGACGAUACAUAGCCGACCUGAGAAGGGGGACGGCCCCACUGGGACUGAGACACCGCCCCGACUCCCACGGGAGGCAGCAGUAGGGAAUCUUUGGCAAUGGACGGAAGGCUGACCGAGCAACGCCGCGUGAGUGAAGAAGGUUUUCGGAUCGUAAAGCUCUUUUGUUAGAGAAGCGGUACCUACCCAGAAAGGGACGGCUAACUACGUGCCAGCAGCCGCGGUAAUUC